rnacentral:rRNA from 1 species
UACGUAGGGUGCAAGCGUUGUCCGGAAUUAUUGGGCGUAAAGAGCUCGUAGGCGGUUCGUCGCGUCGGCUGUGAAAUCCCGAGGCUCAACCUCGGGUCUGCAGUCGAUACGGGCGGACUGGAGUUCGGUAGGGGAGACUGGAAUUCCUGGUGUAGCGGUGAAAUGCGUAGAUAUCUGGAGGAAUACCGGUGGCGAAGGCGGCAUCCUGGACCGGCAUUGACGCUGAUGAGCGAAAGCUAGGGGAGCAAACGGG